rnacentral:rRNA from 1 species
UGCGCAGCUUACACAUGCAAGUCGAGCGGAGAUGAGGUGCUUGCACCUUAUCUUAGCGGCGGACGGGUGAGUAAUGCUUAGGAAUCUGCCUAUUAGUGGGGGACAACAUUCCGAAAGGAAUGCUAAUACCGCAUACGUCCUACGGGAGAAAGCAGGGGAUCUUCGGACCUUGCGCUAAUAGAUGAGCCUAAGUCGGAUUAGCUAGUUGGUGGGGUAAAGGCCUACCAAGGCGACCAUCUGUAGCGGGUCUGAGAGGAUGAUCCGCCACACCGGGACUGAGACACGGCCCAGACUCCUACGGGAGGCAGCAGUGGGGAAUAUAGGACAAAGGGGGGAACCCUGAUCCAGCCAUGCCGCGUGUGUGAAGAAGGCCUUAUGGUUGUAAAGCACUUUAAGCGAGGAGGAGGCUACUGAGACUAAUACUCUUGGAUAGUGGACGUUACUCGCAGAAUAAGCACCGGCUAACUCUGUGCCAGCAGCCGCGGUAAUACAGAGGGUGCGAGCGUUAAUCGGAUUUACUGGGCGUAAAGCGUGCGUAGGCGGCUUUUUAAGUCGGAUGUGAAAUCCCCGAGCUUAACUUGGGAAUUGCAUUCGAUACUGGGAAGCUAGAGUAUGGGAGAGGAUGGUAGAAUUCCAGGUGUAGCGGUGAAAUGCGUAGAGAUCUGGAGGAAUACCGAUGGCGAAGGCAGCCAUCUGGCCUAAUACUGACGCUGAGUACGAAGCAUGGGGAGCAAACAGGAUUAGAUACCCUGGUAGUCCAUGCCGUAAACGAUGUCUACUAGCCGUUGGGGCCUUUGAGGCUUUAGUGGCG